rnacentral:rRNA from 1 species
AUGAACGCUGGCGGCGUGCCUAAUACAUGCAAGUCGGGCGAACGGACGAGAAGCUUGCUUCUCUGAUGUUAGCGGCGGACGGGGGAGUAACACGGGGAUAACCUACCUAUAAGACUGGGAUAACUUCGGGAAACCGGAGCUAAUACCGGAUGAUAUUUUGAACCGCAUGGGUCAAAAGUGAAAGACGGUCUUGCUGUCACUUAUAGAUGGAUCCGCGCUGCAUUAGCUAGUUGGUAAGGUAACGGCUUACCAAGGCAACGAUGCAUAGCCGACCUGAGAGGAUGAUCAGCCACACUGGAACUGAGACACGGUCCAGACUCCUACGGGAGGCAGCAGUAGGGAAUCUUCCGCAAUGGGCGAAAGCCUGACGGAGCAACGCCGCGUGAGUGAUGAAGGUCUUCGGAUCGUAAAGCUCUGUUAUUAGGGAAGAACAUAUGUGUAAGUAACUGUGCACAUCUUGACGGUACCUAAUCAGAAAGCCACGGCUAACUACGUG